rnacentral:lncRNA from 1 species
GUUGAAUUCUGAAUAUAAUAUGUACUAAAGACACUUUAUGUCAAAUGACAAAUUUAAAAAUGGAUCAGAUCAAAAUAUCAUAAUCAAUUCACAGGUAAUUACCCAUACUUAACAGAAGGAAUAUAAGCUGUUUUAAAAGUGGAUUUGGGUUGUGUGUGUUUUUUUUUUUUUUCUGAGGCUCUCUCCUUUGCUUAUAUCUUUAAGUGAUCAGUUGACUAGGUAAUGGGUACUUGAGGCAAAAAAGGGGCAGGAUACAAAUUUAAGAGUUUAAGGAACUAUAUUACACUUGUAAAGAGAAAAAGUGGGAUGCAGGGUGUAGGUUGAACAGGAGUAGUGGGGUGGCAAAGUAUGAGCUCCUGAGUUAAUACCUAGGAAACUGGGCUUUCUGCCAUAAAAAAGACACAAAUCUUUGUGGUGACCUAAUUAAAGUUCUUAAAAUUCAACUUGGACAGUUAGGAAGCUCAGCUCCUUUCCAGGAGGAAUAAGGAGUCAGUGCAAUGACCUAACUGAUCCUGGGCUGCUUGCCAUUUCAAAUAGCUGGAGUGGGUUUAUCAGCUUCUCUUGGGGACCCAGGCUUCCUGAUCACAGUCUUGAGUAAAGGAGAGUGUCCUGAGGGGUCACACUGGUGUCAUGGCCCAACAGUGGUUGCCAUGACUAGAGGACAUGCUUUUUGAGAAGGAAAACUGAUGUUUCUUUCAACUGUUGCUAUGAAAGUUUUUGGAGUAAAGAAGAAAGGACAUCCUCUCAAAACCAUCCAUGCAUCCUUCUAAUCCUUUCACACGUCCAUCCAUCCAUCCAUCUCUCUAUUCAUCCGUACAACAUAUACUGAGCACUUAUUCCUACCAAAUAUGGGGGACACAACACUAAAUAUGACACAAUUGAUACUUUGAAAGCACUCAGUCUUCAUGCAAAUACAUGUAACUAAAACAAUGAAGUGUAAGCUCAAGGCUCCAAGUAAGAAGUCCUGAGUCUGAGUGUUUAUUCUAUAAUUUAAAUGGCCAUGUGGUCUUGGGCAACACACUUUUCUCUAGGACAAUACUGUCAUCCAUAAAAGAGUACAGCUAGACUAGAACACUCUCUGAUGUCUCUUCCAGGUCAGACAUGGUAAAAUUCUAUGUCCAGACAAAUUCAGUUUAAAAUAAGCUUAUCACAUAAGUGCAGAUACUGUAAUGAUGUAGUAAGUGGUCUCCUCUGUCUACCUGGCCUCCCUAAUCUAUCUAUCUCCUAUAAUGUAGGCAGAGUGGUCCUUUCUAAAGAAAAUCUAUCUUGUUUCUCUUUUCAUUUGUCCUCUAAGGGUAGAUUCCUAUUCCUUUUAGGCUAAAGAUGAACAUUCUUAAAGAGGUCUUUGUGGCCUUGUUUAACUCUUCACCUCAUUUUACCUCAAACCUGGAAUAGUCUUCUUUGCAUUUUAAACUUUGUUCCUCUUGUUACAAGGCCUCUGUCUGGACCACUUCUCUUUCCCUCAUCCUCUGCCCAGGGAGAAUCACUCAUCUUUCAGAGAGCAGCCUACUUGCCAUUUCUUCAGGGAUACUUUCUCUCACCUCCCAGGCAAGGCCUGGCUCCUUUGUUAUAUAUGCACACAGAGCUGUGUUUCUUCUCUAGAGCACAAAUCUUACCCCUGACCUAAGCCUUAACAUUGGGGUCUUUUUGUUUAAUGUUUGACUCCCCUACCAGUUUCUCAGACUCAGGAGAGCAGGAACAGUGGUUGGGAGUGAGUCUGGAAGUCAGACAGGGUGACUGGAGUCAUGGCUGCAGCACUGGGCAAGUCACUCUGCUCUAAACCUCAACUUUCUCAUCUAUAAAGAUAAUAGUAUGCUUAUCAUUGGGUUGUUGGGAGAGGAAAAUGGAAUUACAAAGCCUUAGAGCUUAAUGCAGGGCCCAGCAUGUAUUCAGUGCUCUCUACACAGGAACUGUUAUCAAUGUGCUCAAUUCUUCCUUUGUUGUGUUUCUAUGCAGGUCCAUCUGGCCUCCAUUUGAUUCCCAAGGGGACCCAUUUGCCAGAUGUGGGUGCCUUUGGGAACUGUUCCCCUUCAUAGUCCCAAUCCUUGAAUCCUCUCUUCUCUCCACAGCACACGAAGUCCAUCAGGUACCAGAGUUGACUCUCCUUUUGAAAAUUUACCCAGAAUCCAACUGCUUUUCUACCCUUCUGCAGCUAACACUCUGGUCUAAGCUGCAAGCAGCUCUCACGCAGAUGAUUGCAAUGGCCUCCUAACUGGUCUCCCUGGCUCUGCCUUUAUCCCCUAGUCUUUUCCUGGCAUAGCAGUCAGAACAAGACUGUUAAAAUCUAAAUCGGAUUAUGAUACUCCUCUGCUGGAAAACCUCUGAUGGCUCCCAUCAUACUUAGAAUGAAACCCAAAUCCUGCUCUUCAAAACAGUCAUGAUUGGCCCUAGGCAACUUUUCUGAUCCUAUCCAUCCCCCUAAUACAUAGGCUCCUGCUACAGUGGCCUUCAUAUCACGUGCUGGAAAGCCUCUUCACCUGGAAACUUGCAACCUGGCCUCCCCAUCUCCUUUAGGUCUUUGUUCUCAGGUCACAUUCUCAGUUAGGCCUUCCCUAACACCUUAUUUAAUGUUUCCAUUCCUACUCCACAUUGGACGCUUUUCCUAUAAUCCCCUUUCCAUUUUAUUUUCCCCACAGCAUUUGAUAUUAUUUGAAGUACUAUAUAUUUUACAUAUUUGCCUAUUGCCAGUCUUUUCCAUUAUGAUUUUUAUUAUGAAACAACAUGCUAGAUGCUUAAUAAAUAUUUGUUGCAUGAAUGUAUGAAUAAUUGAAUUGUCAACUCAGUUCUCAGGGUAUGGUUGCCUUCUAUGCCUACUCAGAAACCGUCCUGGAUUAUAUGGUUCCCUGAACCUCUUCUUAAUAGGUGGACUCCACCACAAUUAAAUUUCUGAAUUCCAUGAAUUGCAGUCAAUCCUUAAUCUUAGAUGUCUCUGAUAGCCAGGUCAAACUUCAAGCACUGUGAUACAUUUUUGGAGAGUGAAGAAUGAGUUAUAUUUUUGAUGUAGAAAUAUUCUGAUGCUUUCCUCCUAAAGGCGAAUUAUUUCUCUUAGGUCACUAGAAAUAUCUCUUGGUUUCCUAAACUACAGACAUACUUACUGAUGUGCAUAAGUGGCCAAGGUGGUAAGAAACAGUCUGAAGUUUACCAUGAUGCCUAGCCUUGAGAAAGAAGGUGGAUCAUAUACAUAUUUGUUUCUCAUGUUCCAAUCCUUAAACAGAAAAAUAGAAUCCCUUUUAGAAGACUGGCUGGCCAAAUUUGGGGCUGUACCUUCUUUCAAUUUUGGAGAAUAGUAGCUUAACUUUUAAAGGAAAAUUAGAGUCAGCUCUGAGGAAGAAAGUGGUCAAUGGUGGUGGUGCCCAGAAGAACAUAUCAGGCUUGUUCAUGUUGGAACACAUGCUAGUAAAAAAUGAGUACUGGAAGGUUUGUGACAAAGACACCUGCUGAGUAACACACUUACAGAUACAUGUACAACAGGACAUCAACCUAGGAAAGAUUUGAGAGAUGAGCAGAAGAUGCCACUAAAAUCAGAUUCUGCUGAGGACCAGCAUAUUAUCCGAAUGGGAACCUAAAUGGGAGGGGGAGGGGAAGAGAACUCUGACACCUCCUUCUGGUGUGGCAGUGGACUGGGAAGGGCACAGGUGCAGAAUGGUUGAGUAUUGGCUUGCUGGUCUGAUGGCCACAUGUGGACAUAUGGAAGGAGAAGACAUUAAAACUUCCAGUACUGAGAUACAACCAAUGAUAUAUUGUGAUUAUAUAAUUUUUUUGUUAUUGUUCAUCAAAAUUUUCUGCAUCCUCAUAAAACUGAAAAUGAUGGCUGAAAAUGAUGGUACCCAGGGGUACCGAAUGGGGGCUCCUAUUAGGAAACAUAUGCUAUCAAAAAUGGUAACUUGGGGAAUUCCCAUUGUGGCUCAUCAUUCUCAAUUCAUGAGUUGUUGCCCAGCUUUCAUCUGUUCCCUGCUAUACUUUAGUUUAGGGUCUGCAACUCUUCAGAAAUUUCCCAUUACAUUUCCAUGACCCUUUGGCAGACAUCCCUACUCAUUCAUAACAUUCUUUCCUGCAGAUACAGGAAGGUAUUCAUAGUCCUGCUCAACUCUGUCCUCCAUGCAGCCAUUACUAAUAGAUCACAGAUGAAAUCCAUGGGCAUCUUCCCCAAUGCACAGUGUCUUUGCUGUCCCUCAUUCCCUGCUUUAUUUUUGUUGUUUAUCAACUAUUGAGUACCUCUAGUGUUC